AUUGAACGCUGGCGGCAGGCCUAACACAUGCAAGUCGAACGAGUGGCGGACGGGUGAGUAAUGUCUGGGAAACUGCCUGAUGGAGGGGGUUAACUACUGGAAACGGUAGCUAAUACCGCAUACCAUCGGAUGUGCCCAGAUGGGAUUAGCUAGUAGGUGGGGUAAAGGCUCACCUAGGCGACGAUCCCUAGCUGGUCUGAGAGGAUGACCAGCCACCCUGGACCUGAGACACGGUCCAGACUCCUACUGGAGGCAGCAGUGGGGAAUAUUGCACAAUGGGCGCAAUCCUGAUGCAGCCAUGCCGCAUGUAUGAAGAAGGCCUUCGGGUUGUAAAGUACUUUAAGCGGGGAGACGUUACCCGCAGAAAAAGCGCCGGCUAACUCCGUGACAGCAGCCGCGGUAAUAC
rnacentral:rRNA from 1 species